CGCAACAGUCCCAGAUGACUACAGUUUGGCAAAAGAAUAUGGUCUUUAAAAAAGCAUACAAAGACAACACGUGUGUGGAAGAACAGUAAAAUGGAUUAAGAAGUAACAACCACCUGACAACGAACAUCAGGGCAGAAAGCCUACUUUCUACCACGGCAGCAGCAGGUGACAAGGGGUGGAGAACAAUGAUGAGUCCCAACACCGUACCACAGAACAUCUUCCACAAGCAUUGCUCCAGCUCCUUCACACCUCUGAGAUCCUGAAACACUGGCACAACCAUGAAAAUGCUAGGAGGCAAGGGAUCACCAGCAACUGAAGGGUUUUGAUUUAAACUUAAAUAUAACAGUACAUACAGUUUGGAAACAUCUUCAAAAUGGCGUUGGAUGCUCUUCUGAAGAAACUGAAUCACAGGGAGCAGCUUCACUGACCUUGAAUGGAGAAGAUGUGCAACCGUCAGUACCAUUGAUAUUUACAUAUGGAAAUCUAGAACUUUUCUGUAUCUCAAAAUUUUAACAAGCAUUCAUGUUAACUUUUAAAUAUGAAUGUUGUAAGAUAAUACUAAAUAAACGAAAACUUUUUGUUUUGA